AAUACCAGCAUACCUUCUGAUUUGAUGCAGUGAGAGGGGCACAUCACCUCUAAAGUAUCUUUCCCCAAAAUAACCUCAAUCUGAUCAUGAGAAAAUAUCAGACAAACCCAACUUGAGGCACAGUCUGUAGAUUAACUGAUCAGUGCUGUUUAGCAGUGUCAGUCAUGAAAGACAAGGAAAGACUGAGGGAUUGUUGAAAAUAAGAGGAGCCCUAAGAGACAUGACAAAUAAAUGCCAUGUGGGAUCCUAGAUUAGAUGCUGAACAGAAAAAGGACAU
rnacentral:lncRNA from 10 species